rnacentral:rRNA from 1 species
UACGUAGGGUGCGAGCGUUGUCCGGAAUUAUUGGGCGUAAAGAGCUCGUAGGCGGUGUGUCACGUCGGCCGUGAAAACCUGCAGCUUAACUGUGGGCGUGCGGUCGAUACUGGCAUCCCUGGAGUUCGGCAGGGGAGACUGGAAUUCCUGGUGUAGCGGUGAAAUGCGCAGAUAUCAGGAGGAACACCGGUGGCGAAGGCGGGUCUCUGGGCCGAUACUGACGCUGAGGAGCGAAAGCGUGGGGAGCAAACAGG